rnacentral:rRNA from 1 species
AUUGAACGCUGGCGGCAGGCCUAACACAUGCAAGUCGAGCGAGCGGCGGACGGGUGAGCAAUGUAGGGGGACUGCCCGAUAGAGGGGGCUAACUACUGGAAACGGUGGCUAAUACCGCAUACUAUCGGAUAACCCAUAUGGGAUUAGCUAGUAUGUGGGGUGAAGGCUCACCUAGGCGACGCUCCCUAGCUGGACUGAGAGGAUGAUCAGCCACACGGCGACUGAGACACGGCCCAGACUCCUAGGGAGGCAGCAGUGGGGAAUAUUGCACAAUGGGCGCAUGCCGUAUGUAGCCAUGCCGCGUGUAUGAAGAAGGCCUUAGGGUUCUAAAGUACUGUCAGCGUGGAAGCGUUACCCGCAGAAGAAGCACCGGCUAACUCCGUGCCAGCAGCCGCGGUAAUAC